rnacentral:rRNA from 1 species
CGAAAGCCUGACGGAGCAACGCCGCGUGAGGGAUGAAGGCCUCUGGGCUGUAAACCUCUUUUCUCAAGGAAGAAGAUCUGACGGUACUUGAGGAAUAAGCCACGGCUAAUUCCGUGCCAGCAGCCGCGGUAAUACGGGAGUGGCAAGCGUUAUCCGGAAUCAUUGGGCGUAAAGCGUCCGCAGGCGGCCCUGAAAGUCUGUCGUUAAAGCGUGGAGCUUAACUCCAUUUCAGCGAUGGAAACUACAAGGCUUGAGUGUGGUAGGGGCAGAGGGAAUUCCCGGUGUAGCGGUGAAAUGCGUAGAUAUCGGGAAGAACACCAGUGGCGAAGGCGCUCUGCUGGGCCAUAACUGACGCUCAUGGACGAAAGCCAGGGGAGCG